UACGGAGGGGGCAAGCGUUGUCCGGACUUACUGGGCGUAAAGGGUUCGUAGGCGGCCUGCUGCGUCGGUGCUGAAAGCGCCCGGCUUAACCGGGCGAGGCGUGCCGAUACGAGCGGGCUGGAGCCUUGGCGAGGGUGGCGGAACUCCUGGUGUAGUGGUGAAAUGCGUAGAGAUCAGGAAGAACACCCGUGGCGCAAGCGGCCACCUGGCCAAGAGCUGACGCUGAGGCACGAGAGCGUGGGGAGCGAACCGG
rnacentral:rRNA from 1 species